rnacentral:rRNA from 1 species
CCCUUAGAUGUUCUGGGCCGCACGCGCGCUACACUGAUGCAUUCAACGAGCCUAUCCUUGACCGACAGGUCCGGGUAAUCUUUGAAUCUGCAUCGUGACGGGGAUAGAUUAUUGCAAUUAUUAAUCUUCAACGAGGAAUGCCUAGUAGGCGCAAGUCAUCAGCUUGCGUCGAUUACGUCCCUGCCCUUUGUACACACCGCCCGUCGCUCCUACCGAUUGAGUGCUCCGGUGAACAAUUUGGACUGCUUUGAUUCGAUUAGAAUUUGAAGCGGAAAGUUUAGUGAACCUUAUCACUUAGAGGAAGGAGAAGUCGUAACA